rnacentral:lncRNA from 1 species
UCCUCAGCUGUGGAACGCUGCGUGCGUGGUGCACAGCUACCAGCUCGGAUGGGUAUUUGAGAAUUUACCGCACUGACUUGGACCAGACGGAAAGCAGAGAAGAGGGAGAGCUACACCUGACUGUCCACCAUUCCCGCCAGCCCCAACGUCGGCUUUUCACUUCAUGUUUGGGGACAAUUACACCUCCUCAUGACAGAUCAGAAGUUUCAGAAAAAAGGUCCGCUGAUUUCCGCAACAGGGUAUGAGGUGGCCAGCUGCUGAUGCCAGCUGCAUGGACUCCUAUACUUGCUGAUUCUUCUGGAGCUGGAGAUGAACUCGGACCUCAAGGCCCAGCUCAGGGAACUGAUUAUUACAGCAGCGAGGGAAACUGAAGUUGGUGGUGGUGAGAAAGUUAUCAUGGGCAGGUACAGCAGCUCACGCCUGGAAUCCCAGCACUGUGGGGAGCUGAGG